rnacentral:misc_RNA from 1 species
UUAAGUUCAGCGGGUAGUCCUACCUGAUUUGAGAUCAAACAUUCAAAGAGCUGUCCUCGCUGGGGAGAGACAUUUGUGAGCCCCAGUGAACCUCCGUUACCAGAGGUAACCUGGUGGAAAACCACAAGCGUAAAUAGUUAUCACACCUGUGACGCCACCAAACACUGGCAAGCUGAUUCAUUUGAGAGGAGCUGACCCAU